ACACGUGACUUCAUAGUUUAUGAUUUUGCACGAAAUGUUUCGCGCUAUGAAGGCUGUGUGUUGUUGAAGCUGAAUUAUCGCUAUAGCUAGGUGUACCAACUGUAAGUUUACAUUUUUGUUAAUAUAGCUUUGCUCAUAAUAGUAAAGUAUGUUUUGGUAGGGUUAUUUUAAUAUUUGUAAAGUCUGAAAAUAUUUAUUUUAAUAGAAUAAGUUCAGCAUGUUUUGUUGAUAAACGUUCCAUAUCAUAUUGGCUAUUCAUUUUAUUUCUAGUGAUGUUUAAUAGACUUUUGUUAUGAAGAAGUUUAAAUUUAUUUUACGAGAUAUACUUUUGCUAUUGUUUACAACUAUAAUUAGAGGUAACAUAGGUAUAUUGAUUUUUGGUUACAAUAGGUUAUACAGUAUCACUGUGGUCGACGGUGACCUUGACCUGAGUUUAUGCAUUGAGGCCCUAGUUGGGCACACUGUCAUUACUGCCAAUAUCAUUACCAUUAUCAUAAUU